rnacentral:lncRNA from 1 species
AACUUUUUUUUUUUUUUAACAUUUUACAAACAGCUAAAAACUACAACACGUCACAGCUACGGUGGGAGUGGGAAGAGUACCAAAGAAAGCAGCCACAAGAGUAGGGUAGGACGGGGGGCAGCUCUACCUACAGAGGCUGUUCUGUGGAAGGGCAAGAUGGGGAAACUGAGGCUUCAGGUCCCUGCAUUAGGGGUCCCUCACGACCCAGCCUUUUUGAGAAGGGUUAGGGGAUGGACCCCUGCUUCCUGCCCCUGCCCCAGCUUCUUGUGCUUUCAGACCUGCUGGUUUGACCAUGUGUGCCUGGUUAUUUUCCCUUUCUUUCCUCUGAUACACUGCCUGUGUGGACAGGGAAUGAUGGGAAAGGCAGAAAUUCUGGAACACCUGGAGCAGAGAAACAGUCGUCCCCACCCCUGCUAACACUGAGGGAGAGAAGGAUGCAGCUCAGCCUUCUCCUUGUGCA